rnacentral:rRNA from 1 species
GGGUGCUAACGUCCGGUGUCAAGAGGGAAACAACCCAGACCGCCAGCUAAGGUCCCCAAAUAUAGCUAAGUGGGAAACGAAGUGGGAAGGCUAAAACAGUCAGGAGGUUGGCUUAGAAGCAGCCAUCCUUUAAAGAAAGCGUAAUAGCUCACUGAUCGAGUCGUCCUGCGCGGAAGAUGUAACGGGGCUAAGCUAUAUACCGAAGCUGCGGAUGCGUGCUUUGCACGCAUGGUAGGAGAGCGUUCCGUAAGCCUGCGAAGGUGCGUUGAAAAGCGUGCUGGAGGUAUCGGAAGUGCGAAUGCUGACAUGAGUAGCGAUAAAGGGGGUGAAAGGCCCCCUCGCCGUAAGCCCAAGGUUUCCUACGCAACGUUCAUCGGCGUAGGGUGAGUCGGCCCCUAAGGCGAGGCAGAAAUGCGUAGCUGAUGGGAAGCAGGUCAAUAUUCCUGCACCAUUGUUAAAUGCGAUGGGGGGACGGAUCGCGGAAGGUUGUCCGGGUGUUGGAAGUCCCGGUC